rnacentral:rRNA from 1 species
AGUGAACGCUGGCGGUAGGCCUAACACAUGCAAGUCGAACGGCAGCACAGUAAGAGCUUGCUCUUACGGGUGGCGAGUGGCGGACGGGUGAGGAAUACAUCGGAAUCUACUUUUUCGUGGGGGAUAACGAAGGGAAACUUACGCUAAUACCCCAUACGACUUACGGGUGAAAGCAGGGGAUCUUCGGACCUUGGGCGAUUGAAUGACCCGAUGUCGGAUUAGCUAGUUGGCGGGGUAAAGGCCCACCAAGGCGACGAUCCGUAGCUGGUCUGAGAGGAUGAUCAGCCACACUGGAACUGAGACACGGUCCAGACUCCUACGGGAGGCAGCAGUGGGGAAUAUUGGACAAUGGGCGCAAGCCUGAUCCAGCCAUACCGCGUGGGUGAAGAAGGCCUUCGGGUUGUAAAGCCCUUUUGUUGGGAAAGAAAAGCAGCAGGUUAAUACCCCGCUGUUCUGACGGUACCCAAAGAAUAAGCACCGGCUAACUUCGUG